AAUCGGGCUCGAUGAGGAAGACGUGAGUCAGAGCUUGCGCCUCUCGCUUCCAGCUGUGGGUGGCGCUAGGCAGCUUCAGCCGGACCGGGCAUAAUCACCAGCAACACCCGGGACAAUAAUACGGGGGCCACCUACCCCCACCUGAACUUCAGCAUUCCCAUCACGGUGCUCCAGCCGGCCCUGCAGCAGUACAGCCAGACCCAAGACCUAGGUGGCCUCCGUGAGCUGGACCGCGCUGCUGAGCCAGUCAGGGUGGUGUGGCGGUUGCAGCGGCCCCUGGCAGAGGCCCCGCGGAGCAAGCUCUGAGGCUGUGUUACCACCUUUGGAAAGAAGAGUGACCUUUUUCUGCUGUAGGAAGUGAUGUUGAGGUGACGGUGGCCUCAGGAUUCAGGGCCCAGCCCCUGCAGGGGCCCAGGCUGCCUCUCAUCUCCACCCACUGACUGCAGACUGGGCUUUGGGCUCUGGGGCAAACUUCUCUUCAGCCCCAUGGAUCCUUAACCUGGCAGCCCGUUUUGGGGUGCUUUCUUGAGCCCCCAGUUCUCUGUCCCCUAGCACUAGACUCAGCUGUAUUGUUUUUCCUUCUGGGGAGCCCACUCCAACUGCACAGAAGUUCUGGGCCUGACAGGUAGAUUCCAGCUGGAAGGCAGGCCCGUGCCUGGUUUUGCGUCUGUUCCCCUGAGGGCCAUCGUCAUCCUGGAGCUUCAAUGGGGCCUUGGCUCCUGUCUGCCUCUCAGUCAGAGUCAGGGCUGACAAAGGACUCAGCUUCCUUAGCAUCUCAGCAGAAACCUUGCUCUGAAGACCAGAGACAGAAGGGACAGAAACAGGAGUGCCUCCUGCUGUGCCAGGCCCAUGGGCAGUGCAGGCAGAUCCCUGAAGGUCAGCACUCCUGGGUCUUCAUAUGCCAACAGGGGCGCUCUUGACACUGUGCCUUCAUUUUCCAGCCCACAGCCUGGGUCUCAGGGAUCUUGAGGGGUAGAACAUGUCUGGUUGGGGCUUGGGAAUAAACAUGAUCUAUUGAAAAACCUCUGUAUUUAUAUAUCAAAUUGUUUCUUUUUUUCAGGAGUUGAACUGGGAAUAGGCAAGUACCAGGCAAAGAAACACACCCUUUCCUUUUUUUUUUUUUUUUUUCUUUAGAGCUGUGGUCUUGCUCUCUCACCCAGGCUGGAGUGCAGUGUUGCGAUCACAGCUCACUGCAGCCUCAAACUCCUGGGCUCCAGGAGACCUCCUGCCUCAGCCUCCUGAAUAGCUGGGACUACAGUCGCGCACCACCACGCCUGGCUAAUUUUUUAUUUUUGUAGAAAUGGGGUAUUGCUUUGUUGCCCGUGCUGGCUUCAGCCUUCUGGUUUCAAGCAGUCCUCCUGCCUCAGCUUCCCAAAGUGCUGGGAUUACAGGUGUGAGCCACUGUGCCCAACCCAGAAAUACACCCUUUCUGUGCUGUUUUCUCAGCAGGGUGUGAGCUCACGGGAUACGGUCCUGCCAGACUGGCCCUCAUAGCUGGUCAUGUGCCAGUCAGAGCUGGGUGGGGCUUGCAGGUCCCGGAAGGUGGUGGUCUUGACCUGGCAGCAGAUGCUUAAAGAAUGCCUAAGGUGGGUGGCAGUUGGGGAGUUCAAGGGUGAAUGAGGCCAGGGCAGCCCCCAGGAGCUGAGGCCAACUCUUUGAGUCAGGACUGUGCCGUGUGCCCAGGGCCUUGCAUGUGUGGGCCCUCGAGUGAUUUCUACUGGCAGGCUGAAAGCCCUGUGAGGGGCGGCUGUGGGCGGAGGCCACGCAGGAAGAGUGCUUAGGAGUAACUUGUUUCUAACACCUGUGUGCUGAGUGCCAAUGCUGGGUGUGGUGUUAUGAUAUAUAUUGGUUUUCAUCCAGCAUUCCUGACUCGUAACUCUCAUAGUCCUUGUUCCAGUCUUUGUUAGAAUACUGGGUAUGUUAGGGCUUGGGACAGGCCUCUGACCUCUGGGUAUCCUUUCACUAAUGUUCGCCCACCUUUUUCACAGUGGGUCCUAAAGACCUUCCCAUGAGAGGGUCUCAAUCCUAGGGGAAGGAAUGUUGAUGUCAUGAACCUUCCAUAAAAACCCAAGAGGACAGGGUUCAGAGAGCUUCUGGAUAGCUGAACACCUGGCACUUCCUGGAGUGUGGCGUGCCCAGGGAGGGCACGGAAGCUCUGCACUCCUUCCCCUUCCCUCAUUCCUUGCUCUAUGUGCAUCUCUUCAUCUGUAUCCUUUGCGAUAUCCUUUAUAAUAAACCGGUAAACAUAA
rnacentral:lncRNA from 10 species